CGGCGGACGGGUGAGUAACACGUGGGUAACCUACCUAUAAGACUGGGACAACUUCGGGAAACCGGAGCUAAUACCGGAUAAGAUAUCGAACCGCAUGGUUCGAUAGUGAAAGAUGGUUUUGCUAUCACUUAUAGAUGGACCCGCGCCGUAUUAGCUAGUUGGUGAGGUAACGGCUCACCAAGGCAACGAUACGUAGCCGACCUGAGAGGGUGAUCGGCCACACUGGAACUGAGACACGGUCCAGACUCCUACGGGAGGCAGCAGUCG
rnacentral:rRNA from 1 species